AACGAACGCUGGCGGCGUGGCUAAGGCAUGCAAGUCGAACGGACAUGAGCGUUGGGUAACUGAUGCUCUUGUUAGUGGCGAACGGGUGAGGAAUGCAUGGAUAACGUACCCUGGACUCGGGAAUAGCGGCGGGACUUCGGUCCCUUUGCGAAAGUGCCGGUAAUGCCCGAUGACCCCGCGUGGUUGCAUGAUCGUGCGGGCAAAGUUCAGGCGGUCUGGGAGCGGUCCAUGUCCUAUCAGCUAGUUGGUGGGGUAACGGCCUACCAAGGCAACGACGGGUAUCGGGUGUGAGAGCAUGACCCGACACAUCGGAACUGAGACACUGUCCGGACACCUACGGGUGGCUGCAGCAACGAAUAUUCCGCAAUGGACGCAAGUCUGACGGAGCGACGCCGCGUGCAGGACGAAGUCCCUCGGGAUGUAAACUGCUGUCAGGGGUGAGAAAGAAUGUGAUCAGCCCCAGAGGAAGCAUCGGCUAACUCCGUGCCAG
rnacentral:rRNA from 1 species